rnacentral:rRNA from 1 species
CAGCAGCCGCGGGAAUACAGAGGUCCCGAGCGUUGUUCGGAUUCACUGGGCGUAAAGGGUGUGUAGGAGGUUUGGUAAGUCAGGUGUGAAAUCCCGCAGCUUAACUGCGGAACUGCAUUCGAUACUGCUGAACUAGAGGCUUGGAGGGGGAAGCGGAACUCUUGGUGUAGCGGUGAAAUGCGUAGAUAUCAAGAGGAACACCGGUGGCGAAGGCGGCUUCCUGGACAAGUCCUGACUCUGAAACACGAAAGCUAGGGGAGCGAAUGGGAUUAGAUACCCCCGUAGUCCCUGUCUCUUAUAC